AGGCUAGUAGUUCAAUUGGUAGAGCGUCGGUCUCCAAAACCGAAUGUUACAGGUUCGAGUCCUGUCUGGCCUGCCA
rnacentral:tRNA from 1 species